GCUUUCAUAGCUUAGUUGGUUAAAGCACUCGUUUAGUAAGUGGGAGGCCUUGAAUUCAAAUUUCAAUAAAAGCA
rnacentral:tRNA from 1 species